UACAGAGACUGCAAGCGUUAUUCGGAUUCACUGGGCGUAAAGGGUGCGCAGGCGGCCAGGUGUGUUAGGCGUGAAAGCCCGGGGCUUAACCCCGGAAUUGCACCUAAAACUACUUGGCUAGAGCAUUGGAGAGGGUAGCAGAAUUCACGGUGUAGCAGUGAAAUGCGUAGAUAUCGUGAGGAACACCAGAGGCGAAGGCGGCUACCUGGACAAUUGCUGACGCUCAUGCACGAAAGCGUGGGGAGCAAACAGG
rnacentral:rRNA from 1 species